GGAGCUCUGUCAGGCAGUGAGGCAGGUGUGCAACUGGGGGUGGGGCUUCAGGCGAACAGAGGGAGAAGGUGAAAUGUUUGGUGAAGGGGUUUAGUGAGGAGGAAGAGAGAAGGCCAGGAGAGAGAGGAAAAGGCUUCAUGUGCUCAUUUUCAUGGUGUUUCCUCCACUGCCAAUGAAAGGAAAGGGAUUAUUUUUCCAUGCUCUUGAGGACCAUGACAAUUAGGCCAUCAGGAGGACUUUGUGUGCCGUACUAAAGCUGAACUGAAGGACCAGGAUCGCUUCCCCUCGGGUCAUGUGUGAAGCUCUAAGACCUCUGCAGACGUUUCCGGUCCUCUGUACAGUCCUCACCUGAGGUGAAAGAAGCAGACAGCAGGAUGAAGAGGGAUUGGAUGGGAUGAUCUCUCCACUCUGUUCAAGAAGCUCCUUUUAUUUCCUGGUAAUGAAAAAGCCAAACAUAAUGUCCUCUUUCUUUGGACACAUAAAAGAGAGACAAAGUGGACCGACCCCGAGGCUGCAGGAUGUUCUUACAGCAGCAGAGAGAAACGGCUGUGUGUGACCUGCAGAGUGAGAGUUAUUGGGUUAGAAAUGUGUGGAGGAGACGAGGAUUACAGGAGCCGCGGGGCGUCCUUUGACUCUCUCUGCUGACCAACAACAAUGAGCUUUAUGACGCUUUGAAGGACGGAGAGAAUCAUGUCCACAGGAAGAAGCUCUCAGUGUUUUUAUGAGCAGGAAGGUGGAACAGAAGUCUACGUUUAAUAUGUUCACUGUUUUAUAUCUGCCAUCUGUGGACCAGUCAGUGUGAAUGUUACACAGUAAUGUAUGCAAACUGUAAAUUAUUGUUUUCUCUUGAAGCAAGCAUAUUUUCUUUCUACUUGUGUUUGUGUGAGCCUGCUGCACUUCAGAGGACAAAAUAUGCCAACUAUUUCCAAUAAAAAAUAACCAACUCCA